rnacentral:rRNA from 1 species
AUUGAACGCUGGCGGCAGGCCUAACACAUGCAAGUCGAGCGAGCGGCGGACGGGUGAGUAAUGUCUGGGAAACUGCCUGCUGGAGGGGGAUAACUCCUGGAAACGGUAGCUAAUACCGCAUACCAUCAGAUGUGCCCAGAUGGGAUUAGCUGGUAGGUGGGGUAACGGCUCACCCAGGCGACGAUCCCUAGCUGGUCUGAGAGGAUGACCAGCCACACUGGAACUGAGACACGGUCCAGACUCCUACGGGAGGCAGCAGUGGGGAAUAUUGGACAAUGGGCGCAAGCCUGAUGCAGCCAUGCCGCGUGUGUGAUGAAGGCCUUCGGGUUGUAAAGCACGUUCAGCGGGGAGGCGUUACCUGCAGAAGAAGCACCGGCUAACUCCGUGCCAGCAGCCGCGGUAAUAC